rnacentral:rRNA from 1 species
UACGUAGGGUGCAAGCGUUUGUCCGGAAUUAUUGGGCGUAAAGAGCUCGUAGGCGGUUUGUCGCGUCGGCUGUGAAAACUCGGGGCUCAACCCCGAGCCUGCAGUCGAUACGGGCAAACUAGAGUGCUGUAGGGGAGACUGGAAUUCCUGGUGUAGCGGUGAAAUGCGCAGAUAUCAGGAGGAACACCGGUGGCGAAGGCGGGUCUCUGGGCAGUAACUGACGCUGAGGAGCGAAAGCGUGGGGAGCGAACAGG